rnacentral:rRNA from 1 species
UUUAACAUGAGAGUUUGAUCCUGGCUCAGGAUGAACGCUGGCGGCGUGCCUAACACAUGCAAGUCGAACGAAGCACUUAUCUUUGAUUCUUUCGGGAUGAAGAGAUAUUUGACUGAGUGGCGGACGGGUGAGUAACGCGUGGGUAACCUGCCUCAUACAGGGGGAUAACAGUUAGAAAUGACUGCUAAUACCGCAUAAGCGCACGGAAUCGCA